GGGUGCGAUCAUACCAGCGUUAAUGCACCGGAUCCCAUCAAAACUCCGCAGUUAAUAGCGCUUGGGCUAGAGUAGUACUGGGAUGGGUGACCUCCGGGGAAGUCCUAGUGUUGCACCCU
rnacentral:rRNA from 1 species